GACAGAGGGUGCAAACGUUGUUCGGAAUUACUGGGCGCAAAGCGCGUGUAGGCUGCUUCGCAAGUCGGAUGUGAAAGCCCUGGGCUCAACCCAGGAAGUGCAUUCGAAACUGCAGAGCUGGAGUCCUGGAGAGGAAGGCGGAAUUCUCGGUGUAGAGGUGAAAUUCGUAGAUAUCGAGAGGAACACCGGUGGCGAAGGCGGCCUUCUGGACAGUGACUGACGCUGAGACGCGAAAGCGUGGGGAGCAAACAGG
rnacentral:rRNA from 1 species